GUGGUUCACCUGAUUUGAAGAGCUUGCUCAGAUAUGACGAUGGACAUUGCAAAGAGUGGCGAACGGGUGAGUAACACGUGGGAAACCUACCUCUUAGCAGGGGAUAACAUUUGGAAACAGAUGCUAAUACCGUAUAACAAUAGCAACCGCAUGGUUGCUACUUAAAAGAUGGUUCUGCUAUCACUAAGAGAUGGUCCCGCGGUGCAUUAGUUAGUUGGUGAGGUAAUGGCUCACCAAGACGAUGAUGCAUAGCCGAGUUGAGAGACUGAUCGGCCACAAUGGGACUGAGACACGGCCCAUACUCCUACGGGAGGCAGCAGUAGGGAAUCUUCCACAAUGGGCGAAAGCCUGAUGGAGCAACGCCGCGUGUGUGAUGAAGGGUUUCGGCUCGUAAAACACUGUUGUAAGAGAAGAAUGACAUUGAGAGUAACUGUUCAAUGUGUGACGGUAUCUUACCAGAAAGGGACGGCUAAAUACGUGCCACACAGCCGCGGUAAUACGAA
rnacentral:rRNA from 1 species